rnacentral:rRNA from 1 species
GACGAACGCUGGCGGCGUGCUUAACACAUGCAAGUCGAACGGAAAGACCCUGCUUUUGUGGGUGCUCGAGUGGCGAACGGGGGAGUAACACGUGAGUUACCUGCCCUUGACUUUGGGGUAACUUCAGGAAACUGGGGCUAAUACCGGAUAGGAGCUCCUGCUGCAUGGUGGGGGUUGGAAAGGUUCGGCGGUUGGGGAUGGACUCGCGGCUUAUCAGCUUGUUGGUGGGGUAGUGGCUUACCAAGGCUUUGACGGGUAGCCGGCCUGAGAGGGUGACCGGCCACAUUGGGACUGAGAUACGGCCCAGACUCCUACGGGAGGCAGCAGUGGGGAAUAUUGCACAAUGGGCGGAAGCCUGAUGCAGCAACGCCGCGUGCGGGAUGACGGCCUUCGGGUUGUAAACCGCUUUCGCCUGUGACGAAGCGUGAGUGACGGUAAUGGGUAAAGAAGCACCGGCUAACUACGUG